rnacentral:rRNA from 1 species
GACAGAGGGGGCAAGCGUUGCUCGGAAUCACUGGGCGUAAAGGGCGCGUAGGCGGGAUGGCAAGUCGGUCGUGAAAUCCUUCGGCUCAACCGAAGAACGUCGGCCGAUACUGCCGUUCUUGAGGGAUGCAGAGGAGAUCGGAAUUCCUGGUGUAGCGGUGAAAUGCGCAGAUAUCAGGAGGAACACCGGUGGCGAAGGCGGAUCUCUGGGCCUUGCCUGACGCUGGGGCGCGAAAGCUAGGGGAGCGAACAGG